AAGGGUGUAGCUCAGUGGUGGAGCACAUGCUUAGCCUGCACAAGAUCCUGGGUUCAAUCCCCAGUACCUCCA
rnacentral:tRNA from 1 species